rnacentral:misc_RNA from 1 species
CCGCCAAACUGAAGGAACUCAGUCGACGGACAACAUUUAUACGUGUGACGCAACAACUAAAUGAAGUGUUCAGCGCAUUCACUAAAGAACAUUAAUACAUGUAAUCCUAAACUGUAUUCUGAGGAAAAAAUCAAGAAUUACCAUUCCAGUAUAGAAAACAGUCAGCUAUCAAUAAUUACAUAAGAAAUCUUUUUGUUUGAACACUGCGUGCACCACAACCUGGUACUAAGAAUAUUUGAUGGAAUGGAUUUUAUUGGGUUAUUUAUCAUUCUUAUUUUACAUAAUCUAAGAAACUGUAUGGAAAUUUCCAUCUGUUGAACCCCUCCAACAUCUAGUCACUUUUUAUAAAUUAUGUACUACUAUCAAACAUUUUAACAAAACUGGUAUGUUUUUUAUUUUUGAAUGAUGACAAUAUGGUGUUGUGAUGUUCCCUGUGAUCAUGUACCUUAUUUCUGAUUAUCUAGGUGUCAGGAAUAUUUGAUGAAGUCUGUCUUUGUUGCUAGAGGAAUUAUUAAUAAUGUAGAAACGAAAUUUCAGUGUAGAAUCUGAAAUACCUUCAUGUAGCAAUCUUUUUUUCUCUUUUAGCCAACAAAGCUAACAUUUCUUUUUUGCGAAAACAACCAGAUUAACGGUUUAUUGAAGAAAUCCAUGCUGAACUGCAUAUCAAUUUUGAUAUUUAAUGGUUUAUAUAUUGAAGGGAAGUUGAAAUACAAGAACAUAGAAAAGGCACCUUUUGAUCUGUAUUUUGCGAGAGUUGCGUUAUACCCAACCUUUUUCCCAAAAGAUAACUUACAUUUUAACGUGCUCUUUUAUGGAAGGCACAUUUUGCUCAACUUGAUACAUGUAGAUCCAUGUUUUAUUAUUUAUGGGAGUGUAUUGCAUAAUAAACUGCUAUCCUGUAAAUUAAAGAUAGUGUGAUUGGUU